GGCCGAUUGGUGUAAUGGUCAGCACGUCGGAUUCUGACGCAUGUUAAAUUCCGGAGAUGCUGGUUCGAUUCCUGCAUGGGCCU
rfam:Blumeria graminis f. sp. tritici 96224 unplaced genomic scaffold Scaffold-173, whole genome shotgun sequence.